GAUGAAGAACGCAGCGAAAUGCGAUAAGUAAUGCGAAUUGCAGAAUUCAGUGAGUCAUCGAAUCUUUGAACGCACAUUGCGCCCUGUGUAUUCCGCAGGGCAUGCCUGUUCGAGCGUCAUUUCAACCCUCAAGCUCUGCUUGGUGUUGGGCCCUGCCCGCUGCGGCCGGCCCUAAAGACAGUGGCGGUGCCGCCUGGCCCUGAGCGUAGUACAUCUCUCGCUCCAGUGCCCGGUGGUAGCCUGCCAGAACCCCAACUCUCGUGGUUGACCUCGGAUCAGGUAGGGAUACCCGCUGAACUUAAGCAUAUCAAUAAGCGGAGGA
rnacentral:misc_RNA from 1 species